rnacentral:lncRNA from 1 species
CCAGUAUAAGCGUACACCCAGCAGUGCAGUCCCCCAUGAGGUCAAUAAACCAAUGCUGAAGAAAAGGUUCAAAUUCUUCCUCUUGUAUAAAGCAGGAAUGAUCUGAUGCAUUUUCAGCCGAUGAACUACAAAGAUAUCGUACACUGCUGAAAUUGCCAGAACAGUCACUCCUUGCUCCUUCCAGAGCAUGCUGCAUCCAGCACACAGUCCUGCUCCCAAGAUCCAGCCCCAAGUUC